UCUAACCCAUCUCUCCCCUUCUCUUCCAGGGCAUCAAGGGCUCCCUGAGCAGGUACGUGGUCGCCCACGUCACCCCCUAACGCCUGGGCCACGUGGUCCCCGGGCCCCCAACGCCCCGGGCCCCGCGGGGGCCUCUCCUCCGCCCGAGGUCCACUUGCCGUUCACGCUGGUUUGUUUUCCAGGUUCCAGAGGAAGAAGUUCCUGAAACUGAACCCCAUUUCCCAGUUAAUGGAGAGAAGAAUGAACGGUUUAACCCUGAAGAUUAACUCCCUGCAGAGGAAUCUUAAGGAAUUCCAAGGGAAGAUGCAGAGAGAACUGGAGUCCGACCCAGCCAAACGGCGUCUCCUGGUUCCCCGAGGCCCACCUCCAUGUCUUCCCAGUGCCCUGUAACGUGGCUUCUCUGCCUGCCUUCCCGCUCUUCUUCAAGAACCAGGGGCCUCCCAGCCGCUAGAGAGGCUCUGGAGUGGCCUGCUGCCGGCCACCGGACGGGGGGACGGCCCACGCCAGCACCUCCACGUUGACGUUGGGGAUCUCCGGAGGAGGCGUGCGCCGAGACCGGGCUCCGGAACCCCUGUCGCGCCCGCGGUUGACGGCCAGGGGAGUUGACGCCUGCGUCCGUGUCCCGGGAAGGAAGGGAGGGUGGGACGGAGGGCGGCGGUGGGGGUGGGAGGGAGUGGGAGUCUGGGAGCCGGCUGGCACCUUCUGCUACCGCAGCUACUGGUUGGGGACUCUAGCAAGAAUAAAGUCGAUUUCGGAAACGUGACCGAGUUGGCUCCGCUUCUUGUC
rnacentral:lncRNA from 1 species